CUGUCCCCUCUGCCCUGGGUCCCUCUCCAUCUCUCCCCUCCUGGCCCCCCUCUCUCCCUCUGCUUCCAGGUUGCCGCUGGUCCUCAGGGAGCACUCUGACCUCUGCACUCUGCACCCCUUCUGCCCCCAAGGUGCUGUGGAUCAAGCCUCCCCCACACCCCAGCAUCCAGCAUCCCACCACAAGGAUCUGAUGGAGGCACCCCAGUCAGCCAGACAGUCUGUCAGAGCGCAAAGCUGAAGCGGAGUCCAAGGACUGGUGAGCAGGGGUCCGAACGUGCACAGCACAGAGGGGCUUAUUCAUAAGAGCGGAGAAAGGAGGCGGUGACGUCCUCCAGCCGGCAUGAGGACAGAGACAACAGCCUGUCUCUCCCGUGGCUGUGUGUGACGGGGGGGUGGGUGGGGUGGGGUGGGGGUUGGUUGGGGCCUUGACAUCUGGGCGUACUUGAACUUGUGAGCCAGGGAAGGGACGGGGGAGCAGGGAGACAAGCACAGAGGACCACGGGGCAAGUGCAUCCACUCAUAGGGAGCAUCAGAAGGCAAGUCCAGACAGACAGACAGACAGACUAGUAGACUGUGAAAUGAGGACCAGAGCACCUCUGGGGCUGGGAGGGUUGGGAUGGGUUUCCUCUGAGGAUGAAGCAAAUGUCCUCAGGUUAUUGGGAAAUGUCACACAACGCCCAGAAUAUUAAAGAAAAUGCUGAGCUGGG